UUGCUGUGAAAUUCUGGCUUAGACGAUUCUGAGGAUACAGAUCAUUGUUCAAACUGACACAGAGUUUGAGACAUUCAUUGCAUUAUGAAGACCCAAACUGUUUCAAUCGCUUUUGCCGCUCUUCUUCUUAAUUUACUUUUGACUACGGAAACCGAUUGUUUUACUGGACCAAUACCUUCAAGUAAAAGAGAUCAUGAAGGAAAGUUUGACAGAGUAAUUAGGAAGGAAGAAGGGAAACGAGCAGGAAGCUUUGGACGCGAAGGAAUGGACAAGAGGUUCUCUGACAAAUGGAUAUCAGGGGAAAAGUAGCCAUGUUUACGUGGAGUUGAGAUCAUGGUGACGUCAUCUAAACAUGAUAGUGGAAAAAAGUUAUGUAAAUCAAAUGAUUUAAAUAAAAAAGGGACAGAAGGGAUUAAAAAAGGAGUAACAGAAAUUAAAGUUCUCUUUCUUGAAUUAUUUUGGGAAAUGAAGGAAACCAACUGAUUUAAAAAUUAAAUUCUAUAAGUUCUUGCCAGACAUUUUUUAAUUGUUUCACUCGCUGCAGUGUUUCUUGAUCAAUCCAUGAGACUUAACACCAUAAAAAUUUGUCACAUUUUUGUUUAAUCUCCAUUUCUAAGAAUCCACCAUGAAUUGGAACUGAGAAAUUGACAUACGUUCAUGACAAAUGUUCACAAUACCUUGAAAUGUGUAAAAAAGGAAUAAAUUAACUCCUCUAGAUUUC